GUGCAAGCUCCCUGAUCUCGAGUCUAUCAGAAGCUCUGAUUGUGGCCCAUCUACCCUGCAGCUUGGUUCCUGGUCAGAGGGCAAAGCUUGCCUGGAAGUGAGACUUUGAAAUGGCACUUGGCUUGGUUCCCUGAAGGGUUGGGCGGUGCCAGUGAAAGAAGAUGCAUCUUUCUUCAAGUUCUUUGUUGCUUCCAGAAAGUCUGUGUUGAUUAGACACGCUCAUGAGCAAGAAGGAGGAGGAGGUCAGAUCUGUCACCAAAUGCUCUUCAAUAUUCCCCAAAUUACUAACUGUCUUCAAAAGG